GUAGGGUCCAAGCGUUAAUCGGAAUUACUGGGCGUAAAGCGUGCGCAGGCGGUUGUGCAAGACCGAUGUGAGAUCCCCGGGCUUAACCUGGGAAUUGCAUUGGUGACUGCACGGCUAGAGUGUGUCAGAGGGGGGUAGAAUUCCACGUGUAGCAGUGAAAUGCGUAGAGAUGUGGAGGAAUACCGAUGGCGAAGGCAGCCCCCUGGGAUAACACUGACGCUCAUGCACGAAAGCGUGGGGAGCAGACAGGAUUAGAUACCCUGGUAGUCCCACGCCCUAAACGAUGUCAACUAGUUGUUGGGGAUUCAUUUCCUUAGUAACGUAGCUAACGCGUGAAGUUGACCGCCUGGGAGUACGGUCGCAAGAUUA
rnacentral:rRNA from 1 species